rnacentral:rRNA from 1 species
UGGGGAAUUUUGCGCAAUGGGGGAAACCCUGACGCAGCAACGCCGCGUGAGUGAUGAAGGCCUUCGGGUCGUAAAGCUCUGUCAGAGGGGAAGAAGUGCAGGGGUGCUAAUAUCAUCUUUGUUUGACGGUACCCUCAAAGGAAGCACCGGCUAACUCCGUGCCAGCAGCCGCGGUAAUACGGAGGGGGCGAGCGGUGUUCGGAAUUAGUGGGCGUAAAGCGCGUGUAGGCGGUUUGGUAAGUCUGAUGUGAAAGCCCUGGGCUCAGCCUGGGAAGUGCAUUGGAAACUGUCAGACUUGAAUACGGGAGAGGGUAGUGGAAUUCCUAGUGUAGGAGUGAAAUCCGUAGAUAUUAGGAGGAACACCGGUGGCGAAGGCGGCUACCUGGACCGAUAUUGACGCUGAGACGCGAAAGCGUGGGGAGCAAACAG